rnacentral:misc_RNA from 1 species
CAUUAUCGAGAUCGCACCUCUGAGAGGGGGAGGGCUUCCCCGAACCCUUUCGAGGCUUCAGCCCUCUAACACCUGUGUGCACCCGCUGUAGGUCCUUAGGGACCUAUGUCUUCUUCGAACUCGCAUGUCUACAGAAUGUCGUCCGCGACCUCGGUCGCAGGAAACCUAAUACAACUUUCAGCAAUGGAUCUCUUGGCUCUCGCAUCGAUGAAGGACGCAGCGAAUCGCGAUAAGUAAUGUGAAUUGCAGAUUUUCCGUGAAUCAUCGAAUCUUUGAACGCACCUUGCGCUCCUUGGUAUUCCGAGGAGCAUGCCUGUUUGAGUGUCAUCGAAACAUCAGAUCGAAGCUUUCGACCUCGUCGGAGCUCGGUUUGGACUUAUGGGAGUCUGCGGGCGAACCUCCCGUCGGGGGGACGUCGGCUCUCCUCAAAAGCAUUAGCGUUGGGUGCGAGCCUCGCGUGGCACGGCCUCUUCGACGUCAUAAUGACCGUCGUGGGCUGGAAGUGCGUGGAUCGUAGAUGCCCGUCGCUCUCCAACUCUGCGAGCCCGGUCCGUCCGGCCGCGUGUU